UGGUCUGUGUGGUUGGGGAUACAGGAAGGAACAAGGCAGAGAUUAUCAUCAGUGGUAAACUGAAGCACCGAGAAGUCAAGCCACUUGCCUGAAGUCACACAGCUGGCAAAUACUGAGUCUGGGAUUCAGCACAGAGCCUGGCAAGAAUGAACUGGCCCAUAAAGGAUUGAGAACUGGGUUCUCUCUGAGCCACAUUUAUUAACUGAGAGCUUGAGACUGUCACUCUUCUUCCAGCCUCAGAAAACCCCACCUGGCUGGAGUCGGACCCCCCUGGGCUGGAGGUAGGCUUCCUUGCAUUGGGCCACAAGUUGUGGGCCAGUCAGGAUGAAAGCAGGGCCCUGAAUUCAUCGAGGGCUGCCCCGUUCUCCCUGCCAUGCCACAGAUCCUGCUAUCAGGGCCAGAUCUGGGCUUUUUGCCAGUCCUGGACCUGCUGCCAACAGGGGGGCCGUAGAACACCUGCUCUCAGGACUGUGAGCCAGUCCCAGCCCUUCUCACCUAUUCCUGGGAACGAAUCUAAAAUCCCCGGUCACUGUCCCCAGGAAGGCAAAUAAAGUCUUUCACAGUUCCUGGGUUCAUGUGCCAUGCCAGGCUUAGAAGGGGCAGGCUCUGGUGCCAGGCAGUUUUGGCUCUCUACCCCGGCUCAGGACCUGUGGGCUCUGACCCUGGGACACCACUGCACCCUCAGAGCCUCAGGGCCCCAUCAUAGUUUUGACAGAGCCCCUCUUUGGAAGGCUGUUGUAAGAUUAGAGAGAAAGCUUUUGCCUUGGUUCUCUGUUCUCUGCCCUC